AGUCAAGCGCCGGCGGAACGGGUAUCAUUGAUGUUGAUAAAUAGGGUAAAUACUCUUGGCUU
rnacentral:tRNA from 1 species